rnacentral:rRNA from 1 species
AUUGAACGCUGGCGGCAGGCCUAACACAUGCAAGUCGAACGAGUGGCGGACGGGUGAGUAAUGCCUGGGAAACUGCCUGAUGGAGGGGGAUAACUACUGGAAACGGUAGCUAAUAACGCAUACAAUAAGAUGUGCCCAGAUGGGAUUAGCUUGUUGGUGGGGUAACGGCUCACCAAGGCGACGAUCCCUAGCUUGUUUGAGAGGAUGACAAGCCACACUGGGACUGAGAGCCGGUCCAGACUCCUACGGGAGGCAGCAGUGGGGAAUAUUCCACAAUGGGCGAAAGUCUGAUGCAGCCAUGCCGCGUGUAUGAAGAAGGCUUUCGGAUUGUAAAGUACUUUCAGCGGGGAAGCGUUACCCGAAGAAGAAGCACCGGCUAACUCCGGGCCAGCAGCCGCGGUAAUUC